UCAGUGCAUAAUGUUUCCCAAGUCCCUGUAUAUUCAUCUCUGCCCACACUUUCUAAACAGGAGAAGAAAUACCGCUUUCAAAACCAAGUGGACAAAAUGAAAGAAAAAGUAAAGAACGUAGAGGAAAAAUCAAAAGAAUUUGUUAACAAGGUGGAAGAGAAGAGCCAUGACCUCAUUCAGAAAUGGGAAGAAAAGUCCAGGGAAUUUAUUGGCAACUUUUUAGAGCUGUUUGGACCCGAUGGAGCCCUGCUAAGCGUCACCUAUGAAAUGACUCCUGGCACUCCAAGCAACACUGAGAGUUCUUGCUCCCUGUUUCCAAGAGGAGAAAUGAGCCACUCUGAUUCUGAGUAUUCAGCAUGAAGCCAACAGCCGCUGCGCAAUACAAGCCCUAUCACCUGUAACCGAGUCCCAGAGCCUUACUGCAAGGUCACAGCAGCACUAACAAGCAGCAGCAUUUGCCUUAUUGUAGCAGAUCAUUUGCCUGAAAAUUUGGUCUGUUCCACCUCACCAGCUAUGGAAGGUUCUCGCUCAACUUUAGCAAGCAAACAACAAUAAAGCCCAAAGCAGAAUA